rnacentral:lncRNA from 1 species
CCCAUAUGGCACACAAACACGAGAGCCCUGAGACAGUAAGAAUGGAGCUAAUAAGCUCAACAGGCAGGAGCACCCAUUCUGAGAUGAUGGACAAAUGUUCAGUUCUAUUGGCUUUCUGAAAAAAAUAUAUAAAUCACUUUAUUUUUAAACUAAAAAUAUGGCUUGGCCUGUCAUUUUCUCCAAUUCUUCUCUUUUUUUAGUUUGAAAGGAAAUUUACCCAUAUGU